rnacentral:lncRNA from 10 species
CGGUACUGAGAGCAGCCAUCUUGGAGCUUGGAAACGGAGACGCAUGUGAAGCCGUUUGCACAGUAUUUUUCCCUUAAAAUAUGGGUGGGGAACAAGGGGCUGUCAUUUGUCUUUUUCUUUGGGAUGGUGAGCAGUGAGCAGGGCACGCCGCGAGGAGCAAACUGCAGCCCAAGCACACGCGGUCAGCACGCGGAGCACAGGUGGGGAGAAGCGGCUGACGGUGGCGUGGCCCCGCGUACCUGGGUGUGGACGCCCCGCCGCCCCGCAGGGGAAAGCUCCUGGAGUCUGGGGUCUGCUGCCCCGAGCUCUGGGUGUCCAGCCUCUGCCUCAACUGAAAUCUGAAGAUCAGGCCAAUUUCGUGGUCUCUCAGACGUCGGUAAACAAGAGGCCUUGGCUCCUCAGGAGACCGAGAGUCUCUCACUGUACUUCCUUCUCUUGGCUCCAAGGACAUAGAACGGUUGCUAUGGGGAUUCCUUCAUUUGUAAAGACAAUCAUGCUGGCUGUUAGUGAAGAAUGGCCUGGAGCACUGGGUCUCCGCCCCAGCUGCCUGGGAGAAACUGUGUUGAAGGAGCCAUACCCCCUGGCCUCCCCUCCAGACUCCAGACAACCCCAGUCAGCUGGCUGGGAGGGAGGCAGAAGAGAAACAGGGGUGCACCUGGGGCUCCUGCAGGGGUCCAGCCAGGAGAUGGGGGCAACUUGGACAGGGACGAUCCUGGGAAGGGCAGGAGGAGGAGUGAGACCUGGCCUGCCCUCUCCCUAGAGGCUCAUCAGC